CCUACGGGUGGCUGCAGUGAGGAAUAUUGGUCAAUGGGCGCGAGCCUGAACCAGCCAAGUAGCGUGAAGGUUGACUGCCCUACGGGUUGUAAACUUCUUUUAUAAAGGAAUAAAACGAGGCACGUGUGCCUUUUUGCAUGUACUUUAUGAAUAAGGAUCGGCUAACUCCGUGCCAGCAGCCGCGGUAAUACGGAGGAUCCGAGCGUUAUCCGGAUUUAUUGGGUUUAAAGGGAGCGUAGAUGGGUUGUUAAGUCAGUUGUGAAAGUUUGCGGCUCAACCGUAAAAUUGCAAUUGAUACUGACAGUCUUGAGUACAGUUGAGGUAGGCGGAAUUCGUAGUGUAGCGGUGAAAUGCUAAGAUAGCACGAAGAACACCGAUUGCGAAGGCAGCUUACUAAACUGUGACUGACAUUGAUGCGCGAAAGUGUGGGUAUCAAACAGGAAUAGACACCCUGGUAGUC
rnacentral:rRNA from 1 species